CGCUUUUAGAACUCAGUUUAGAUGUUUCAGAAGAACUCUCAGAGAGGCCCAUGAUCCGGCUUCUCCUCCUACUUGUAUAUUCGGCUGCUGCCUCCAAUAAUGCCUGUUGGAUCCAGAUAUCACACAUACAGGCAUGUGAAGAGAUCUAUCUGGGCAGAAGGAGAAUAAAUACAAAAUGCUGCAGCAGAAACAAAGUUGGUGUGCAGGAGAAAUAGCAAGGGAAGCCCGCAGACAUUUGUGCUUCAGGCUGCCCAUGAAGAGCUGCAGGCCGAUCAGCGCAAACACGCUCAGACAGAACACCGUCAGGAUCAUGACGUCUGAGAGCUUCUUCACAGACUGGAUCAGGGCCCC